GGGCCUGACUAGCUCAACUGGUGGAGCAUGGCAUGAAUGUUGCCAGGGUUAGGGGUUCGAUUCCCACUAGGACCGCCCA